rnacentral:rRNA from 1 species
UACGUAGGGUGCAAGCGUUGUCCGGAAUUAUUGGGCGUAAAGGGCUCGUAGGCGGUUUGUCGCGUCGGAAGUGAAAACACGGGGCUUAACUCUGUGCUUGCUUUCGAUACGGGCAGACUAGAGGGAUGCAGGGGAGAACGGAAUUCCUGGUGUAGCGGUGAAAUGACGCAGAUAUCAGGAGGAACACCGGUGGCGAAGGCGGUUCUCUGGGCAUUCCCUGACGCUGAGGAGCGAAAGUGUGGGGAGCGAACAGG